GGAGAGAUGAUAUCAGAUGGUUUACCGUUGCAUCAAGUAUAAGACGAGUCGGCUCGCAGCUGCAAGGACAGUGCAGGGAUAGCACAGUGGAGUUUAGUGGCCCUAACAGUUUUCUGGUGUCAGAAGUGGGAUGGCUGGAAAUCCAGAGGUAAGUAGAAUCACUGUCUGAACUGACGGUGUUUUCUCUUACCUUUGGCUCUUUCCGAUUGACCGAUUCCUUAGUAAGUGUCUCAUGUAUGGUUGAGACUGUCUCAUGUAUAGUUGAGACAAGGGCAUGAUUACCAGUUUAAAUAAGUGUCUCAUGUAUGGUUGAGACUGUCUCAUGUAUGGUUGAGACAAGGGCAUGAUUAGCAGCUUAAAGUGUCUCAUGUAUGGUUGAGACUGUCUCAUGUAUGGUUGAGACGGGUUAUAGAGAUCCCAUGGUAGUAUAGUAAAAUAGGGAUACUCAGGUUGUGCACGGGAACCAUUUCUUACUGACUGAUUCAUCUUUCCAUGCGUAUUAUUGUCUUGUCUUGUUUGUGUAUUUGUGUAUUUGUGUUUUAAAAUAUAUCUGUGAAUAGUUGCAGCGUUAAGAGUGAUCACGAGUUGCUAACGGGUAUUGUUGGGACCUUGAUCUCAGUUCAGCCCUGGCUUCUCUGUUUCGUUGCAAUCGUACAUGACACGUUCUUUGAUAAGAAUUUAAGACAUUGGUUACAGCACCUGCGCUUGGUUUACCUAAUUAUGCUAAACCUUUUCAUUUGUAUGUCAAGGACACCUGUAAAACCAUGGCUGCGGUCUGUGCUCAAGAAUCUGGGGGAAGUUUUCGUCCUGUGGCCUAUUUUUCCAAAGUAAUGCCGCUUCCGGUACAGGGGAUGCCGGCGUGUCUCAGA